rnacentral:rRNA from 1 species
CAGUAGCCGCGGUAAUACGUAGGGUGCGAGCGUUAAUCGGAAUUACUGGGCGUAAAGCGUGCGCAGGCGGUUAUAUAAGACAGAUGUGAAAUCCCCGGGCUCAACCUGGGACCUGCAUUUGUGACUGUAUAGCUAGAGUACGGUAGAGGUGGAUGGAAUUCCGCGUGUAGCAGUGAAAUGCGUAGAUAUGCGGAGGAACACCGAUGGCGAAGGCAAUCCCCUGGACCUGUACUGACGCUCAUGCACGAAAGCGUGGGGAGCAAACAGGAUUAGAGACCCCAGUAGUCCCUGUCUCUUAUAC